rnacentral:SRP_RNA from 1 species
GGGUCCUCGUGGUCGGGGAUCCGUGAACCCCGCCAGGACCGGAAGGUAGCAACGGUGUCGGUCCCCCCGAGGUGCGGGGGUGC